rnacentral:rRNA from 1 species
AUUCCAGCUCCAGUUGCGUAUAUUAAAGUUGUUGCAGUUAAAAAGCUCGUAGUUGGAUUUCUGACUUCAAACACCUGACCCUCCCUCGCUAGAGGUGUGUGUGCCGGAGUGUUUGUAUCAUCCUUUCAGUGAUCGGUUCUACCCUUAACCGGGUCGGAACUGUUAACUGGAUCUUUUACUUUGAAGAAAUUGGAGUGUUUAAAGCAGGCUUACGCCAGAACAUAUUAGCAUGGAAUAAUAAUUUAGGACUUUUGUUCUAUUUUGUUGGUUUCUAGGACGAAAGUAAUGAUUGAUAGGGAUAGUUGGGGGUGCUAGUAUUCGGCGGCCAGAGGUGAUAUUCUUUGAUCCGCUGAAGACUAACUUAUGCGAAAGCAUUCACCAAGGAUGUCUUCAUUA